UUAAAUUGAAGAGUUUGAUCAUGGCUCAGAUUGAACGCUGGCGGCAGGCCUAACACAUGCAAGUCGAACGGUAACAGGAAGCAGCUUGCUGUUUCGCUGACGAGUGGCGGACGGGUGAGUAAUGUCUGGGAAACUGCCUGAUGGAGGGGGAUAACUACUGGAAACGGUAGCUAAUACCGCAUAACGUCGCAAGACCAAAGAGGGGGACCUUCGGGCCUCUUGCCAUCGGAUGUGCCCAGAUGGGAUUAGCUUGUUGGUGGGGUAACGGCUCACCAAGGCGACGAUCCCUAGCUGGUCUGAGAGGAUGACCAGCCACACUGGAACUGAGACACGGUCCAGACUCCUACGGGAGGCAGCAGUGGGGAAUAUUGCACAAUGGGCGCAAGCCUGAUGCAGCCAUGCCGCGUGUAUGAAGAAGGCCUUCGGGUUGUAAAGUACUUUCAGCGGGGAGGAAGGGAGUAAAGUUAAUACCUUUGCUCAUUGACGUUACCCGCAGAAGAAGCACCGGCUAACUCCGUGCCAGCAGCCGCGGUAAUACGGAGGGUGCAAGCGUUAAUCGGAAUUACUGGGCGUAAAGCGCACGCAGGCGGUUUGUUAAGUCAGAUGUGAAAUCCCCGGGCUCAACCUGGGAACUGCAUCUGAUACUGGCAAGCUUGAGUCUCGUAGAGGGGGGUAGAAUUCCAGGUGUAGCGGUGAAAUGCGUAGAGAUCUGGAGGAAUACCGGUGGCGAAGGCGGCCCCCUGGACGAAGACUGACGCUCAGGUGCGAAAGCGUGGGGAGCAAACAGGAUUAGAUACCCUGGUAGUCCACGCCGUAAACGAUGUCGACUUGGAGGUUGUGCCCUUGAGGCGUGGCUUCCGGAGCUAACGCGUUAAGUCGACCGCCUGGGGAGUACGGCCGCAAGGUUAAAACUCAAAUGAAUUGACGGGGGCCCGCACAAGCGGUGGAGCAUGUGGUUUAAUUCGAUGCAACGCGAAGAACCUUACCUGGUCUUGACAUCCACGGAAGUUUUCAGAGAUGAGAAUGUGCCUUCGGGAACCGUGAGACAGGUGCUGCAUGGCUGUCGUCAGCUCGUGUUGUGAAAUGUUGGGUUAAGUCCCGCAACGAGCGCAACCCUUAUCCUUUGUUGCCAGCGGUCCGGCCGGGAACUCAAAGGAGACUGCCAGUGAUAAACUGGAGGAAGGUGGGGAUGACGUCAAGUCAUCAUGGCCCUUACGACCAGGGCUACACACGUGCUACAAUGGCGCAUACAAAGAGAAGCGACCUCGCGAGAGCAAGCGGACCUCAUAAAGUGCGUCGUAGUCCGGAUUGGAGUCUGCAACUCGACUCCAUGAAGUCGGAAUCGCUAGUAAUCGUGGAUCAGAAUGCCACGGUGAAUACGUUCCCGGGCCUUGUACACACCGCCCGUCACACCAUGGGAGUGGGUUGCAAAAGAAGUAGGUAGCUUAACCUUCGGGAGGGCGCUUACCACUUUGUGAUUCAUGACUGGGGUGAAGUCGUAACAAGGUAACCGUAGGGGAACCUGCGGUUGGAUCACCUCCUUA
rnacentral:rRNA from 1 species